CUUCAGUGAUCCUAUUGUAGUAGAGAUUGGAAUAGUGUUCACAUCAUCAGUUCAAUCAUCAUCUUCUACAUUAUUAACUACUGAAGCUAUGUCUACCUCAUCUAGAUCUACUGAGUAUUGUUCAAUAACCUGUACUUCAGUCUGUACUGCUACUCCUGCAGUUUCAGUAAUUCCAUCAACUAGUGAUACAUCAGAUAGUGUUAUUGCUCUUAGUGUGUUAGUGAGUAUAUUGUGUGGUCUAUUAACUGUCAGUGUUAUUGUUCAUAUCUACUGCUUUAUAAG